CCAUGUAUGUGGUAUCAAGAGCAAGCUCUUACUUCAUUAUGUCGUAUUGAGUUUUUGAUACACUGUGCUUACGUCAUAGCCACAAUAAUAGAACGCAUUUCUCAUAUGAAUUUAAUGUUAUUUUCCUCAUGUGAUUGCUAACUAAUCAGAUUGUAUCCCCUAGAUCCGUUAUCUGUUAAUAGAUAAAUAGUAUAAAUAGAGCGUUUUAGUGAACACACUGUACUCAUUUGCUGAGGUAGGAUCACAAUACGUUGGUUCCUCAAAGCAAAGUUCGAAUUCCAAAAUUGUUUACCACAACAAAUGUUUUAAGAACUUAUCUGAUUUUUUCUUAUUUUCUUUAUUGAUACUUUUCGCAUAUGUAUUAUAUAUUUUUUCUUCAUUUGAUUUUUCUUUAAUCCCAAUAAUUUUGUUGUUUACAAUAUUAUUUUUUUUGUAAUUUUCGGUCACCUCAAAUAAAACAUUGUAUUUUUGUAGUUUCAUCGAAUAUUUGACUCAUGUAAAAUUUUAUCUAACAGAGAACUAAUAUCAAACAAUGAAGGCUAUCGUACUCGCUCUUGCACUCAUUGCCGGCGUCUCUGCUGUGCCCCAAAGGAACUUUGCUGCAGGCUUCGCAAAAGAUCAGAGAAACUUGAUAGAAACAAUCAUUGAGAAUAUCGUGAAGUUAGUCAUCAACGGAAUCCAAGCCAGAGGAUUGGACCCCUUGUAUGUCGAGAGCGCUGAAGGCAGCUACACCCUUUUCGGAUUAGAGGAUGUAUUCUCGGCUACUGGCUCCGUAUCGGAAUUGGCUUUCGAAGGCAGCAGCAACAUAGUCAUUAACGAAAUUACUUACAAUCUGUUCGGCGGUAACAUUAACCUCGACUUCACUCUACCCAAGCUGAGUGGAUCUGCUGGUAUGUUUAAAUAAAAACAUGAUCUAUUUAUUAAUAAUCCCUUGUUAUCGAAAACAUCAAUUUGUACGCCCGCCUUAGAGUAUCCAUCUUCCCUGGCAUCAACAUUCAAGAAGUAACCGGUCGUCUUACCGUUGGUGACGUCCAGUCUAACCUCAACGUCGUUCUCUUCGGCGAAGACGUCAGCGAAAGAGUCAAUGAUUUAUUGAACAACAAGCUGCCUGAAGCUCUUGAUAUUUACAAUAACAAGAUCCUCGCCUUUAUUGAGCGCCUCAUCAUCUACAUCAUCAACAACCUUCUAUAAAUGCUCUGUAGGAAUAAUAUCAUUGAGAUGUAAACAACAAAAUUGAAUAAAGAUAAUUUGAAUGAA